GGAUUGUAACUCAGUGGUAGAGUGCUAAUCUAACAUGUGUGAGGUACUGGGUUCAAUCCUCAGCACCA
rnacentral:tRNA from 1 species